rnacentral:rRNA from 1 species
AGCGAACGCUGGCGGCGUGCCUAACACAUGCAAGUCGAACGUGAAAAGGGAAACCUGAGUAAAGUGGCGUACGGGUGAGUAACGCGUAGGUAAUCUACCCCAGAAUCUGGAAUAACCUGCCGAAAGGCGGGCUAAUACUGGAUAGAGCGAGGGAACUCGUAAGAGAGUUUUUCGGGAAAGGGAGCCCGCAAGGGCCUUCGUUCUGGGAUGAGCCUGCGUCUCAUUAGCUAGUUGGUAAGGUAACGGCUUACCAAGGCGAUGAUGAGUAGCUGGUCUGAGAGGAUGAUCAGCCACACUGGAACUGAAACACGGUCCAGACUCCUACGGGAGGCAGCAGUGGGGAAUCUUGCGCAAGGGACGAAAGUCUGACGCAGCCACGCCGCGUGAGUGAAGAAGGCCUUCGGGUUGUAAAGCUCUGUCGGAUGGGACGAACAUCUUCAUAGUGAAUAGCUAUGAGGACUGACGGUACCAUCAAAGGAAGCACCGGCUAACUCCGUG